AAUAGAUACCCCGGUAGUCCACGCCGUAAACGGUGGGCACUAGGUGUGGGCAACAUUCCACGUUGUCCGUGCCGCAGCUAACGCAUUAAGUGCCCCGCCUGGGGAGUACGGCCGCAAGGCUAAAACUCAAAGGAAUUGACGGGGGCCCGGCACAAGCGGCGGAGCAUGUGGCUUAAUUCGACGCAACGCGAAGAACCUUACCAAGGCUUGACAUACACCGGAAAGCAUCAGAGAUGGUGCCCCCCUUGUGGUCGGUGUACAGGUGGUGCAUGGCUGUCGUCAGCUCGUGUCGUGAGAUGUUGGGUUAAGUCCCGCAACGAGCGCAACCCUUGUCCCGUGUUGCCAGCAACUCUUCGGAGGUUGGGGACUCACGGGAGACCGCCGGGGUCAACUCGGAGGAAGGUGGGGACGACGUCAAGUCAGUCAUGCCCCUUAUGUCUUGGGCUGCACACGUGCUACAAUGGCCGGUACAAUGAGCUGCGAUACCGCAAGGUGGAGCGAAUCUCAAAAAGCCGGUCUCAGUUCGGAUUGGGGUCUGCAAC
rnacentral:rRNA from 1 species